rnacentral:rRNA from 1 species
CAGCAGCCGCGGUAAUACGUAGGGGGCGAGCGUUGUCCGGAAUUACUGGGCGUAAAGGGUGCGUAGGCGGCCAUAUAAGUCAGGUGUGAAAAACCACGGCUUAACCGAGGUAUUGCACAUGAAACUGUAUGGCUUGAGUACAGGAGAGGAAAGUGGAAUUCCUAGUGUAGCGGUGAAAUGCGUAGAGAUUAGGAAGAACACCAGUGGCGAAGGCGGCUUUCUGGACUGUAACUGACGCUGAGGCACGAAAGCGUGGGGAGCAAACAGGAUUAGAUACCCUGGUAGUCCACGCUGUAAACGAUGGAUACUAGGUGUAGGGGUUUAAAGACUUCUGUGCCGGAGUUAACGCAAUAAGUAUCCCGCCUGGGGAGUACGGCCGCAAGGCUGAAACUCAAAGGAAUUGACGG